ensembl:lncRNA
CCGUUUCGGAUUGUCUUGGCCGCUCUGGCUGUGGGGGGGGGCGCUACAGCUCCGGAGCUGCCAGAGGCGUCGCUGUAAUUUUGUACCUCCAGUUACGUCGAGGUAAACCUCGGCUGCCGUCGGAGCCGCUGCCGGUAGUCGGCGCCUAUGGGACUAGAACGUUUUUUUCGGAUGCCUUAUAUGUUCGUCUGUAGGAGCGAGUGAGGACUCGGCUCCGGUAGUGGCGGUGAGCGGGCGCUCGCGAGCAGGGUUGACCGGCCGGCCGCCUAGAGAGGGGAUCGGCGGCGGCGGCGGCGGCUUUCUCGGGCAUCGGUUCGUUCGAUCGGUCCGGUCGCUUCGGUUUGUCCGUCGCUCCUCAUCCCGCAGCUCUGUCCUGGGCUAAGGCGGUUUUGCAGGCGAGCAGCGAAAAAAAGCCGGAGAAGGCGAGAGAGAGAGGGAGACGAGAAGGGCACGGGCCGGUCUGCCGGCACCCGAACGUAGGAUGGCCGGGGGCGUCCCCGGCGGGUCCCGCCGCGAUGGAAGAGGGGGACCCGGAGGUCGUAGGUCGUGGCGGCGUCGCCUCGUCCUCCUUUCGCACCGCAUUCUCACCCG